UUAGACUAUCAGACUGCAAAGCUAAAUAAAAAUGCUAAUGAAAAAAUGCUGAAUGAAAAAAAAAUGCAACCUUUUGUUAAACACAUUAAAUAGUACAAAAAGUAAAUACAUCUUUGUAAAAAAAAUGUUUUACAUGUUUUAGUUGUUCCUUUAAGAGAGAAGAACCUGAGACCAUAAAGACUACUGAAUGACAGUCCUGCAUGCAUACUACACAACCAGGCAGCCAUCCAAAUAUGUUAAUAAACUUUAAAAUAUUUUCUUUUCUCAAUUUCAAACUUGCAAAUUUAUCAAUUCAUCUUUUUCAAUAGACAAAACUCCCAGAUCUGAAAGUUGCAUCUGUUCUAUUAGGAUUUCAAAUAAUGAUAGUAAAAGAUAAAGGCUUAGUAAAAAGAGAAAUGGCAAACAGGUUUUUAAAAGUGUGAGGUUUGUCCAAACAUUUUAACAGACUUUGAUGUGCAAACAAUCUAUUACUCUGAAGUUUAUUCAAUUAAUUCAGAUGUUCGGUAACAUCAACAAAAAAGGUAUUUGCAGCAUCUGGCAAUAAUUCCUUAAUAAAAUGGCUGUUGGAAAAAGACCUAACCAUUUCUGUGGUACAGCACAAAAAGUGUCCAAUGGAUUUUUUUUGCUUUGACAGCUGGUGAAAUCAUUUUGCUGCUUUUUCAAGUGUUAAACCAAUUUUAGGCAACAUCUUUUCCCUCUUUUUUCAUUAAACUGAACAUAUAAAUUCA